GACGAACGCUGGCGGCGUGCUUAACACAUGCAAGUUGAACGAAAAGUUUUCGAGUUUUUUCUUCGGAAUGAUCACGAGGAAGGGAAGUAGCCAACUGGUGAGUAACACGUUAGAAACCUGCCUUUCACAAAGAGAUAGCCUCGAGACACCGGGAUUAAUAGCUUAUGAAACCAAACACUCGCAUGAGGGUUUUGCUAAAGAUUUAUCGGUGUUGGAUGGUCUCUCAUCUGAUUAGCUAGUUGAUGGGAUAAAAGCCUACCAAUGCAAGGAUCAGUAGCCGGAUUGAGAGGUUGAGCGGCCACACUGGAGCUGAGACACGGUCCAGAAUCCUACGCGAGGCAGCAGUGGGGGACUUUGCACCACGGAGUGAACUCUGAUGCACCUCGGCCGCGUGAGCUAUGAUAGUCUUCGGAUUGUAAUGCUCUGUCCUCAGUGCAGAUAAUGACGGUACCUAAGAAGCAAGCCCUGGCUAACUACGUG
rnacentral:rRNA from 1 species